GACACAAAAUAUGGAGAUAUUAUGUUAUGUAAAUUUGAAUACUUGAACAAAAACAUCACUCUGGUUUAUUUGGCCCUUGUCAACGGGAUAUAAUAGUUGACUAUUCGGCUCUGUUAACGGGAUAUAAUAGUUGACCUUUACAUUUCAUGGUGGGAAUGUAAUUGAUUUGGACCCCAGCCUCUAGGGGUUUGGUUAGAGGUUACUAGUACUAGUAGUGUUUGGUUCCGUCCACCAGGAACAAUUUGAGGCUAGCCACCCAUUUGAAAAGUCCCACCUAACUGGGCAUUUGAUAUUUGAUAACCAGAGUAAUGAAA
rnacentral:lncRNA from 1 species